UUUACAUUUCAAUCACCAUAUUAUUCCAACAAGGUUCCAUAGCAAUAUUAGAAAAUGGUCGCUUUAUAUAUUUAGACAUAGCAAUAACUAAUAACCUUGCAGCUGUAAUUUCAAGCCAAAGUGUAAGGCAGGUUAAUUAGACACUUCGGAGAAGCAUGAUGCAACCAUUGCUAAGGUUGACCAAGACAUUUCCUUUGCUUUCCGCAAAAAGCAAAAAUUUGCUUUCCGCAACAAGGCAACCCCUAAUUAGGACUUUCAAGAAACUAAGUUCACACUGGAUAAAAGAAGGAACAUUCAUGAGAUUUUCAACAUUCAUCGGACAAGGAAUACUUGAGGCAGAUAUGUAGUCUGUAAGCUUACACAUAUAAUAGGUGUUUGUCAAACUGUGCUUGGAGACCAAGAAUGAGUACUCUGAUUUUAAUCACAACAGAAGGCAGCAUCCUGUUUGCUACUUUCUCCUUCAUUUGAGUCUUCCACUUAGCCCUGCAAAUGAAAUGAAACUCGGGAUCAUCCACCAUUUCCAUCUUAUAUAAAGCACAAUAAAGGAUAAAUACAACAUCAACGUUCUAAUUUAUCAUACUUUCUGAUCAGAUCCAUGGUUCUGACUUUAUGCACUGAUCCUUUGUUCUUAUACCUGAAUGUUCACCUAGAUGCUAGACCCCUGGCCUUAAACCCUAAACCCCAGUACCUAGACCACACUACCUAGUACCUAAACCAGUUGAAAAAGCUCCAUAAUUUUCGCCAACCUGCAAUUAGAAAGCCAUGAAAAGAAGGAAGGAAGAGUUAUUUUUAUCAUAAAAAAGAAAUGAAAAGAAACAGCUACAUAUUCUCGCCAACUUGUGAAAAUCAAAUUAAAAUUAGUCCAAAACCAACCUUAGCAAUGAGACCCAUGAGACGAUGGUUGAGCAUGACCUAAAAACUCACCAAAACCGCUUAAAGAUAUAUCAAAUGGGAGCUCAAGGGUCCAAUGCCGGAAAAUGAGACACAAAUAGGAUAAUAUAGAGGUCAUCAAUAAAUUGACUCAAACUAGUGUAGCUUAUCAUGACUAAACAGCGACAUUUCAAUCAGGUCAUCAAGCAACGAGUCAUGAAGCAUCAAGCCCGACCACACAAUAAAAAAUCAAUGUUCCGCAAAGAAGUACAAGUGAAAUUCACGCAUAUCGUGCUAAUGAAAAUAAAACUUGCCAAUCGAGAAUACCAUUUCGUUUCCAUUAUCUUACCUUCGUGACACAAGAGGAAGUAGAAAACAUGGGGAAUUCUGGUCUGAGUAUUUUUUCCUGACUUGCAUGGAGGGGUGUUCACUCAUCCUCACCUUCUUUGUACUUGUGUUAGAGCGCACCAACUCAUCAUUUCACUUAGGUAAUGAACUUCCUAACACUUUUUUACACAACAUCCCUUGUUUUUUUCCCUCAAUGAAGGCGUGGUUAUCACCAAUGGUCAGGCAAGAUCUGAUUAAAGAUCCUUGU
rnacentral:lncRNA from 1 species